UGGGGAAUUGUUCGCAAUGGGCGCAAGCCUGACGACGCAACGCCGCGUGGAGGAUGAAGACCUUCGGGUCGUAAACUCCUUUCGAUCGAGACGAAUGGCCUCCGGGUGAAUAAUCCGGAGGAGUGACGGUACCGAGAGAAGAAGCCCCGGCUAACUCCGUGCCAGCAGCCGCGGUAAUACGGGGGGGGCAAGCGUUGUUCGGAAUUACUGGGCGUAAAGGGCUCGUAGGUGGCCAACUAAGUCAGACGUGAAAUCCCUCGGCUUAACCGGGGAACUGCAUCUGAUACUGGAUGGCUUGAGUUUGGGAGAGGGACGCGGAAUUCCAGGUGUAGCGGUGAAAUGCGUAGAUAUCUGGAGGAACACCGGUGGCGAAGGCGGCGUCCUGGAACAAUACUGACACUGAUGAGCGAAAGCCAGGGGAGCAAACGGG
rnacentral:rRNA from 1 species